GACGAACGCUGGCGGCGUGCCUAAUACAUGCAAGUAGAACGCUGAAGGAGGAGCUUGCUUCUCUGGAUGAGUUGCGAACGGGUGAGUAACGCGUAGGUAACCUGCCUGGUAGCGGGGGAUAACUAUUGGAAACGAUAGCUAAUACCGCAUAAGAGUAGAUGUUGCAUGACAUUUGCUUAAAAGGUGCAAUUGCAUCACUACCAGAUGGACCUGCGUUGUAUUAGCUAGUUGGUGGGGUAACGGCUCACCAAGGCGACGAUACAUAGCCGACCUGAGAGGGGGAUCGGCCACACUGGGACUGAGACACGGCCCAGACUCCUACGGGAGGCAGCAGUAGGGAAUCUUCGGCAAGGGACGGAAGUCUGACCGAGCAACGCCGCGUGAGGGAAGAAGGGUUUCGGAUCGUAAAGCUCUGUUGUAAGAGAAGAACGAGUGUGAGAGUGGAAAGUUCACACUGUGACGGUAUCUUACCAGAAAGGGACGGCUAACUACGUG
rnacentral:rRNA from 1 species